rnacentral:rRNA from 1 species
GACGAACGCUGGCGGCGUGCUUAACACAUGCAAGUCGAACGGAAAGGCCCUGCUUUUGUGGGGUGCUCGAGUGGCGAACGGGUGAGUAACACGUGAGUAACCUGCCCUUGACUUUGGGAUAACUUCAGGAAACUGGGGCUAAUACCGGAUAGGAGCUCCUGCUGCAUGGUGGGGGUUGGAAAGUUUCGGCGGUUGGGGAUGGACUCGCGGCUUAUCAGCUUGUUGGUGGGGUAGUGGCUUACCAAGGCUUUGACGGGUAGCCGGCCUGAGAGGGUGACCUGCCACAUUGGGACUAAGAUACGGCCCAGACUCCUACGGGAGGCAGCAGUGGGGAAUAUUGCACAAUGGGCGGAAGCCUGAUGCAGCAACGCCGCGUGCGGGAUGACGGCCUUCGGGUUGUAAACCGCUUUCGCCUGUGACGAAGCGUGAGUGACGGUAAUGGGUAAAGAAGCACCGGCUAACUACGUG